rnacentral:rRNA from 1 species
UACGUAGGGUGCGAGCGUUGUCCGGAAUUAUUGGGCGUAAAGAGCUCGUAGGCGGUGUGUCGCGUCGGCCGUGAAAACCUGGGGCUCAACUCUGGGCGUGCGGUCGAUACGGGCAUCACUUGAGUUCGGCAGGGGAGACUGGAAUUCCUGGUGUAGCGGUGAAAUGCGCAGAUAUCAGGAGGAACACCGGUGGCGAAAGCGGGUCUCUGGGCCGAUACUGACGCUGAGGAGCGAAAGCGUGGGGAGCAAACAGG